rnacentral:rRNA from 1 species
UAGGGAAUAUUGGUCAAUGGAUGCAAGUCUGAACCAGCCAUGCCGCGUGCAGGAAGAAGGCCUUCUGGGUUGUAAACUGCUUUUGCCGGGGGAUAAAAUUCCCAUGCGUGGGACAUUGAAGGUACCCGGUGAAUAAGCCACGGCUAACUACGUGCCAGCAGCCGCGGUAAUACGUAGGUGGCAAGCGUUGUCCGGAUUUAUUGGGUUUAAAGGGUGCGUAGGCGGUCUUGUAAGUCAGUUCUGAAAUAUCCCGGCUUAACCGGGAGGGUGGGAUUGAUACUGCAGGACUUGAGUGGAGUCGAGGUAGGCGGAAUUGACGGUGUAGCGGUGAAAUGCUUAGAUAUCGUCAAGAACACCGAUAGUGUAGACAGCUUACUAGGCUCAAACUGACGCUGAGGCACGAAAGUGUGGGGAUCAAACAGG